GUGCUUGCUUCAACAGCACAUAUACUAAAGUUGGAACGAUACAGAGAAGAUUAGCAUGGCCCCUAUACAAGGAUGACACACAAAUUUGUGUGUCAUAUUUAAAAAAU